rnacentral:sRNA from 1 species
GUUACCGAUUACGUUCCUAUGGGUUCGUGAGAGGAGGUGAAACUAAUGAGCCUUAUCAUAGAGCUCGCUCUUACUAUUAUAGCGGAUGUUAUAGCUGGAAUUAUCUUGUAUUUCGUCUGCAGAUGGCUAGAUAGUAAGAAGUAGACCGACUGACUAGCCUAUAAACACCCGUUAAAUCGCUAAGAUACGUCAAAAAAGCCCUUAACUACGGCCAUAGUUAGGGGCUUUGGUGUUCUAAU